CUCGUAGGCGGUUCGUCGCGUCCGGUGUGAAAGUCCAUCGCUUAACGGUGGAUCCGCGCCGGGUACGGGCGGGCUUGAGUGCGGUAGGGGAGACUGGAAUUCCCGGUGUAACGGUGGAAUGUGUAGAUAUCGGGAGGAACACCAAUGGCGAAGGCAGGUCUCUGGGCCGUCACUGACGCUGAGGAGCGAAAGCGUGGGGAGCGAACA
rnacentral:rRNA from 1 species